rnacentral:rRNA from 1 species
UACGGAGGGUGCAAGCAUUGAUCGGAAUUACUGGGCGUAAAGGGCGCGUAGGCGGUGCGGUAAGUCACCUGUGAAAUCUCCGGGCUCAACUCGGAGCCUGCAGGCGAAACUGCCGUGCUAGAGGGUGGGAGAGGUGCGUGGAAUUCCCGGUGGAGCGGUGAAAUGCGUAGAUAGCGGGAGGAACAACUGUGGCGAAAGCGGCGCACUGGACCACAUCUGACGCUGAGGCGCGAAAGCUAGGGGAGCAAACAGG